rnacentral:lncRNA from 1 species
AAGUACUUUAGGGAAGAAAAACUCUAUUCCUAUGGAACCUUAUCUUAGAUGGGUACGCGCAAGAGCUCGUGAACUUGGCAUGCCAUAUCUUGCAGUCGGACCGCUGAUUGUUGAGCCAGAAGUUGAAGGAGGUAUUUCUCAGAUCAUUCCUUAUCCAGAUAUGCCUACCGAUGUUGAAGAACUGAAGAGAUCCUGGAUCCAGUUGAGAGAGGAAAGGGAUACUUUUGAGACUCAGUUCGUUGCAGAAAGGAAGAAAGUGUUAGAACUUACCAGUCAGCUUAAUGAGGAACGAAGACUCAAUGCAUAUCUUCGCCCAAAAAGAAGUCGCCCCUGGGAGACUUGAGCUUUCAUUGUAUUUUUAUUAUUAUUCCCUUUUGUAAUGAACAUUGAAAAAUUAUUAUUAGUAAAAGUUUCCCUCUUUUUGGUUGUUUACGCAAAGUUAAAUCCCCAAAGUCCUUGAAAACAUUUCAUACAUUGCAUAGCAUAACAUAACAUUGCAUAACAGGUAUCCUAAAAAG